UUUGGAAACAUAUGAGUGCCUCGCAAGUGGAGCCGAUGACAGGUGCUGCGAUGGCUGUCGUCAGCUCGUGUCGUGAGAUGUUGGGUUAAGUCCCGCAACGAGCGCAACCCUUGUCUUUAGUUGCCAUCAUUAAGUUGGGCACUCUAAAGAGACUGCCGGUGUCAAACCGGAGGAAGGUGGGGAUGACGUCAAGUCCUCAUGGCCUUUAUGACCAGGGCUACACACGUACUACAAUGGCAGGUACAAAGGGCAGCCACUUAGCGAUAAGGCGCGAAUCCCAUAAAACCUGUCUCAGUCCGGAUUGGAGUCUGCAACUCGACUCCAUGAAGUUGGAAUCGCUAGUAAUCGCAGAUCAGCACGCUGCGGUGAAUACGUUCCCGGGCCUU
rnacentral:rRNA from 1 species